GCCAAAUACCGUUUUGGCCAAUCAGAACCUCCUCGUAGAGAUGCAUUGAAUCAGUGCAUCUCAAUGAGGAAAGUUCAGCAUCUCCAUGCAGAGUGUAGGGAUGCUGAACGGCAGGGCUGCUUACUGUGCAGCCCUGAGCCAGGAAGCCCCUCCAGUGGCCAUCUAAGGAGUGGCCACUUGGAGGUGUCCCUAGUGGCAAUGUAAACACUGCGUUUUCUAUGAAAAGGCAGUGUUUACAUGAAAAUGCCUGAAGGGAGCUAUUAUACUCACCAGAACAACUACAUUAAGCUGUAGUUGUUCUGGUGACUAUAGUGUCCCUUUAAUGAUUAGC